rnacentral:lncRNA from 1 species
CUAAGACAAGUAUUAGAUACAGACAUUCAAGAUAGAAAAAGGUACAAGAGAGAAGUUUACAGUCAAAUAUUGGAUAAAAUAGAAGAACAAGGAGAUUAUUAGUAAUUUUUUUUCAAAAAGCACAUCAACUUUAAUUUCUGGUGGUGCAGAUAUUAGAAGACUCAGAAGAGGGUGUUAAAAUUUAUAGACAAGAGCCAAUUUAGAAAACAUUAAACUAGAAGGAAAUUGGUUUAAAACCACAUCAAAAAAUUAAAAGGACUAAAGUAAUUCUAAAAACUAAGGCAGAAUGCUUUUGAAAGAUUUAAAUUUAAAAGGAUCUUUAAGGGGUAUAUAUCCCCCAAAGAUAAACUUAAAAUAAUGCUUUUUACUCUAAACUUUUUAAAUUUGGAUUCAUCAGGACUUAGUGCUGCUGAAAGACAUAUGUAUCCAAAAAAUGUACAUUAGCCUAAGGUACUUUGGAAAGAUAUUCUAACAGUACAAUGGAAAGUUCCUGACCCAGUGAUUGUCUGGAGUCAGGGUUCUGUUUGUGUUUUUCCACAGGGAGAACAGCAGCCGAUUUGGAUUCCAGAGAGAUUAACCAAAGCAAUUUCUACAGACCAAAAAGAAGAUGAUUUGACUCAAAUCCAUAACAGCUGAUAUCCAGAGCUCCAACUUGGCUAUUCUUACAUCUGCGACAGUGAUUAACCAGGGUGCUUUUUUUCAAUAUCCAUUUUAUUAUUGCUUUUUCCCACAUCAUAAAGUUCUAUUUUAUUUUUUGAGCUCAUACAAACCUAGGUUAAUGUUUUUCUGAUCAGUUUUAUUUUUUGACUCUGGAAUUUUUAAACAUUGCAAUGGAGAUUUCACCUAGGUAAAGCUACAAGGCCUUUACUAUUGUCUUAUGUGUUGUACAUUUGUGUGCACAUUUGUGUUUUGUGUUGUAUGUCUGUGUGUGCGUAUGUCCAUAGAUCAUAUAUGAGGAGCACUCAUGAAAAAAUGGAUCCAAAUUAUUAUUUUUUUUAUUCACAUGAUUUAAAUGGUUUAAUUUAAAUUAGGUAAACAGCUGUUAAGGAUUGUUUUUAAAGGUGGUUAACAGAUCUGUUUGUUUACUAAUUUAAAUUAGGUAAAUAACUGUUAAGGAUUAUUUUUAAAGGAGUUUAACAGAUCUGUUUGUUUACUUUCACCUUUCCUUUUCAUCAUAUUUAAUAAUUCUGUUCAGGAUAAUGUCUCUUUAGCAUCAUUGCCAGAAUUCCUAUCUCCAUCCCAGUGCCGGUGAAGACAAAGAUAAAACCAGACUACAGCUUCUAUGAUAGCUAUCACAGUAAACUGUAUAAACUGAUGCAUCAAUGAAAAUAACUUAACAAGUAAUGCUCAAUCAAGGACUCAAUUUACUUUGGGAGGAAAUGGACAUAUUGAUAGACUCCUCCGGUUUGAACUGCUUGCAGAACUUGCCUGGACUAUGUAUCACUUGUAUACAUUGUGAACAAUCGUUUGGUGCAGCGAAUUGUGGUAGUGCUGGCAUAUCUUUGCUGAUGGUGUCACCAGUGAUGCAAUUUUUCCAAAGGAGCCGUCAAUUGGCUUGGUGUCAUGGCAUUUCUGUAUCCUCCUCCCUUCUGCUAAUGAUGGUCUAAAUUUGGGGGCCAACAGAGUUGAGGCAAAGAACCUCACACCCCCCACACUGGCACCAAGGCCAAAAUUGGGGGACAACAGAGGUGAGGCAAGAUCCUCACCCCCCCCACACACACUGGUGCAUAGGCCUAUCCACAAAUAUGGCUGCAUGCUGGACCAGUAAUCAGUGAUGGGUAUGAUCCAAUUGCAGUGGUAUCAACCUAAGACAGGAGGCUGAUGCCUAGAGGUCAGUUUUUCCCAUGAUGCGUAAGAACCAUAUGUUAAAUUGGACAACCUACCAGGCAUGGUCCUUAAGCCACAUUGCUUGUUGUUUAAUUUAUCAGAAGGGGGGAGAUGCUGAGGGCCAUUGCUAAGUAAGAAUGACGCAUGGCAUGACCCAGGUCAUAUGCAGUGACAUUGCAUGUAAGGUGACCUUGCUCAAGGACCAGGGCGGAUCCGGGUUUAGGGUGGAUUGGGGUUUAGGGCAUUCCUGGUUUAGAACAAUCCAGGUUUAGGGCAGUUCCAGGUUUAAGGUGUACCCUGCUGGGAAUAGGGCGUAUCCUGGUGCCUCAGGUGCACCUGCUCCUUCAGUUCCCUUUGAGUUCUCAAGGGAUUGAGAGAGUAUUUGGGAUUUUGCCCAGAAUGUGAAUUUUGCCGAGAACGUGUGUGUAAAGUGCCAGUGACAGUUUGAGAAUAAAGAAUUGCUGUUUGAAUCUACAAGGCUGUGAGUGGCUCGUGAUUUUGUGCCCAGCAAGACUGUGGCAGUAAUAGGUGUUUUUGGAGUUG